CAAUAGCGCAUAUUAAAGUUGUUGCAGUUAAAAAGCUCGUAGUUGAAUUUUUGCUUGCCGCCGAUGUCGGAACUUCCGUACGUUCGGCGGCGUGCAUCCUUGGGUGGAACCUGUGUGGCAUUAGGUUGUCGUGCAGGGGAUGCUCAUCGUUUACUGUGAAAAAAUUAGAGUGUUCAAAGCAGGCUUACGCCGUUGAAUAUAUUAGCAUGGAAUAAUAAGAUAGGACCUUGGUACUAUUUUGUCGGUUUGCGCACCGAGGUAAUGAUUAACAGGGACAGUUGGGGGUAUUCGUAUUCCAUUGUCAGAGGUGAAAUUCUUGGAUUUCUGGAAGACGAACUACUGCGAAAGCAUUUACCAAGGAUGUUUUCAUUAA
rnacentral:rRNA from 1 species